rnacentral:rRNA from 1 species
AGGAAGGUAGUGUAGUUAACACCUGCACUAUUUGACGUUUACCUACCAGAAGAAGACACCGGCUAACUCCGUGCCAGCAGCCGCGGUAAUACGGAGGGUGCGAGCGUUAAUCGGAAUUACUGGGCGUAAAGCGCAUGCAGGCGGCCGCGUUAAGUCAGAUGUGAAAGACCCGGGGCGUUAACCUCCGGAAAUUGCAUUUGUAAACUAGGCAGGCUAGAGUCUUGUAGAGGGGGGUAGGAAGUUUCAGGUGUAGCGGUGAAAUAGCGUAGAGAUCUGAAGGAAUACCAGUGGCGAAGGCGGCCCCCUCGGACAAAGACUGACGCUCAGAUGCGAAAGCGUGGGGAGCAAACAGGAUUAGAUACCCUGGUAG